UAGCUUUGGUUUCUCCUAAGUCACGCGUAAAUCUUUCGCCUUUUGUUAAAGAUUUCUAUGGAGAGGAACAUCAAUGAGCUCGAUGUAUUUUUAUGAGCUUUGCUCUGAUAAAGCU